GAUGAACGCUGGCGGCGUGCCUAAUACAUGCAAGUCGAGCGAACGGACGAGAAGCUUGCUUCUCUGAUGUUAGCGGCGGACGGGUGAGUAACACGUGGAUAACCUACCUAUAAGACUGGGAUAACUUCGGGAAACCGUAGCUAAUACCGGAUAAUAUUUUGAACCGCAUGGUUCAAAAGUGAAAGACGGUCUUGCUGUCACUUAUAGAUGGAUCCGCGCGGCAUUAGCUAGUUGGUAAGGUAACGGCUUACCAAGGCAACGAUGCAUAGCCGACCUGAGAGGGUGAUCGGCCACACUGGAACUGAGACACGGUCCAGACUCCUACAGGAGGCGGCAGUAGGGAAUCUUCCGCAAUGAGCGAAAGCCUGACGGAGCAACGCCGCGUGAGUGAUGAAGGUCUUCGGAUCGUAAAACUCUGUUAUUAGGGAAGAACAUAUGUGUAAGUAACUGUGCACAUCUUGACGGUACCUAAUCAGAAAGCCACGGCUAACUACGUG
rnacentral:rRNA from 1 species